rnacentral:tRNA from 1 species
CAGAGUAUAGCUAAAUAGUUGAGCGUUUCAUUUACACUGAAUUAAUUUCUGUGCAAUUCAGAAUAGUCUGA